rnacentral:rRNA from 1 species
AUUGAACGCUGGCGGCAUGCUUUACACAUGCAAGUCGGACGAGUGGCGGACGGGUGAGUAACGCAUCGGAACCUGCCUGCUGAUGGGGGAUAACUACCGGAAACGAUAGCUAAUACCGCAUAUUAUCGGAUGUGCCGAGAUGGGAUUAGCUGGUUGGCGGGGUAAAGGCUCACCAAGGCGACGAUCAGUAGCGGGUCUGAGAGGAUGACCAGCCACACUGGGACUGAGACACGGUCCAGACUCCUACGGGAGGCAGCAGUGGGGAAUUUUGGACAAUGGGCGCAAGCCUGAUGCAGCCAUGCCGCGUGUCUGAAGAAGGCCUUCGGGUUGUAAAGGACUUUUGGCGGGGAGGCGGUACCUGAAGAAUAAGCACCGGCUAACUACGUGCCAGCAGCCGCGGUAAUUC